AUAGUCCAUGUAAAGUCGGAGGGUAUCAUCCUUUUUUCUUUAUAAAAAACACCGGAGAGCCUUGAGGAGAAUUGCUGGGGCAAAUGAAUUUUUAGGUGAUAAGAUUAGAAAGCUGAUGUUCCAGCUCUCUUAGCUGAGUGCAACUCAUGCGAUACACGAGCUUCAAGAUCGGUUGGGUUCCAGGCAAUAAUUCAUUGAAGAACUCUACCUCAUGUGGGGGAGGUUGACUAGGGAGUUCGAUGGGAAAGACAUCAGGAAAAUUACAAACAAUAGAUAUGGAACACACAACAGGAUCAAUGUCCAUAUUCCUG
rnacentral:lncRNA from 1 species